rnacentral:rRNA from 1 species
AAAGCGAAUAGUGAAAUCUGGGGGCUCAACCUCACAGGCUAUUAUUCGAACUCACUGACUCGAGAACAGCAGAGGUAACUGGAAUUUCUGAAGCAGGGGUAAUAUCCGUAGAUAUCAGAAGGAACACCAAUGGCGUAGGCAGGUUACUGGGCUGUUUCUGACACUGAGGCACGAAAGCGUGGGAGCAAACGGGAUUAGAUACCCCGGUAGUCCACGCCGUAAACGAUGGAUGCUA